UACAGGGGGGGCAAGCGUUGUUCGGAAUUACUGGGCGUAAAGGGUUUGUAGGUGGCCACUUAAGUCAGACGUGAAAUCCCUCAGCUUAACUGGGGAACUGCGUCUGAUACUGAGUGGCUUGAGUGCAGGAGAGGAACGCGGAAUUCCAGGUGUAGCGGUGAAAUGCGUAGAUAUCUGGAGGAACACCGGUGGCGAAGGCGGCGUUCUGGACUGUAACUGACGCUGAGGAGCGAAAGCGUGGGGAGCGAACAGG
rnacentral:rRNA from 1 species